GUAUAUUUAACUUUAUAGGUACAGAAGCACCUUGAUUCAACAUUCUGAACAGGUUCAUAGGUUUGUGAAAAUGACAUAGACCUGAAAAAUACGAGGGAAAGCCGACUCUAGAUGAAAAAGCACAGCAGUCCCCCAACUCGAAAGUAAUUCGAAAAAAACACCCUCAGGUCUACAAUAUGUGCACAGUUGGAGAGAUAAAGAUGACAAGCGUGCACAUUCUCCCUUGGGGGGGAGCCAGCAACAGCCUGUUCAAGUUUAUUCAAUAAUGAUCCUUCCGCAGGUUCACCUACGGAAA
rnacentral:misc_RNA from 1 species